UAGGGAAUCUUCCGCAAUGGGCGAAAGCCUGACGGAGCAACGCCGCGUGAGUGAUGAAGGUCUUCGGAUCGUAAAACUCUGUUAUUAGGGAAGAACAAAUGUGUAAGUAACUAUGCACGUCUUGACGGUACCUAAUCAGAAAGCCACGGCUAACUACGUGCCAGCAGCCGCGGUAAUACGUAGGUGGCAAGCGUUAUCCGGAAUUAUUGGGCGUAAAGCGCGCGUAGGCGGUUUUUUAAGUCUGAUGUGAAAGCCCACGGCUCAACCGUGGAGGGUCAUUGGAAACUGGAAAACUUGAGUGCAGAAGAGGAAAGUGAAAUUCCGUGUGUAGCGGUGAAAUGCGCAGAGAUAUGGAGGAACACCAGUGGCGAAGGCGACUUUCUGGUCUGUAACUGACGCUGAUGUGCGAAAGCGUGGGGAUCAAACAGG
rnacentral:rRNA from 1 species